UACGUAGGGGGCAAGCGUUGUCCGGAAUCAUUGGGCGUAAAGCGCGUGUAGGCGGCCCGGUAAGUCCGCUGUGAAAGUCGGGGGCUCAACCCCGGGAGGCGGGUGGAUACUGUCAAGCUCGAGUCCGGAAGAGGCGAAGUGGAAUUCCUGGUGUAGCGGUGAAAUGCGCAGAUAUCAGGAGGAACACCAAUGGCGAAAGGCAGCUCGCUGGGGACGUGACUGACGCUGGAGACGCGAAAAGCGUGGGGGAGCAAACAGG
rnacentral:rRNA from 1 species